UGGUGGAGAUAUGAGUGGAGAAGACUUAGGGUUGUUUCUAGGAAAGAAUGACGGGCUUGUGGAUGAAGACUUAUCAUUCAUCUCUUAGUUCGCUUCCUCUGCGCGCACAGACACUCUUUCUCUCUCACCAAAAUCAGAAUUCGAAACUCAUCACGAAUACUUACGAUGACCUCAGCUGUUCCUCUCCAAUUAAUGGAGGACGAAGACGAAGUAGAUUUCGGUUCACCUUUCUCUACACGCACGCGUAAAUUCUGCAAUCUAUUUCUAGCUUCAAUGUUUUUUGUGUGAAUCGAUUUUCAGGAGUUUGAUUGGGUUGCAGCUGUGAGAGAGAUCGAUGUAAGUUGCCAGAAUGCUAAACCCUCUACUUCAGCCAUGGCCCAGAAUUGUCCGCCUUCCUAUUUUGUCCCUCCCGAUGGUACAACGUCUAUGGGAAAUUCGAAUAAUUUGUGCUCCGUUAAUAAGGGGCCUGGUAUGUGAGCAAUCCACGCUCGAUAAAUUUGUGGGGAAGGCAAUCCCUAGGCCUCAGUCGGAGAAUUUAUUGGUAGUUGAGAAUCCAAAGGAGGUUUGGAAUGAGGCUGAUGAGAGGAUACCGUUCGUUGCAGUUGAUGCCGAGCAGCUAAAACUUGGAUUUACCCAGUGAACAGUUCAUUGCUAAAUAAGUUGUCGGGUCGUGAUGCACAAGGAGGGGCAGGACUGGAAUCUCUUCACAGAAAGGGAAAAUAACUUACAUACACUACUUUUAUCCUCCUAUUUGAGCAUUUCAGUUAGCAUCCCAUAUGGUGACUAUCAAUUUGCGAUAACCAAGACGGUUAUUUUCAAAUACAUUAGUUGCCUUGCCGACAGGGCUAGGGAAGACACUUAUUGCCGCAGUUGUUAUGUAUAACCAUUUCAGAUGGUUUCCAGAUGGUAACAAUAUUUGUUGCUUGUUUCUUGUUCCUUCCAAGUCGAUUUUGUGCUCAAUCAUUUGCCAUUUUACUUGGUAAAUAUUUACUAGUAGUUUCUGAUGACAGACGGCAUAAUUUUGCUAUAUGGUAAUUGAACAGACAGAGAUUUAGGCUCCUUUUGGCUCUUGGGAUGGAUGAGGGAAUAGCUAGGAUAUAAAGUAAGCAUCUCACUACAAUUAUUUUUGACAGUUGUACAAAUUGGAAAAGGAUUGUUGGAGAAGAAUGACUAAAAUAAAGCAGCCAAAAGUAAAUUCCAAUAUCUGAAGCAACCUGAAGGUUUUUGAUGUCAAGAACUAAAUGCUGAUUUUCUGGUCCAAAGACCUUAUGCAUAUAUUAUGUUACUCUCUUUCCUUUUUGAUGUUCUGGCUGCUAGUCAUAGGAGGAUUCUUGGUUGCAAUGCUCCAGGAAAUAAGAAAUCUGGAUCAUGAAGAUAUCUUCUCUGCCGAGUAGUUGCUUCUUUUAAUGAUUGGCAAUAAUAUUAAAUCAACAGUGUAAAAGUGAGAAAAUUAUUGAUGUAGAACAAAUUUACACCUGCCACUCAUUGAUGUCUGACCUGGGAUUGGCCAAAUGUUCCUGAAAUACUCGGUCUUCUCCAAAAGCUUUGCUUCUCGUAUAUGUUAAGUUUCUUUCCAAGUAAAUGUUCUUCUCUCUUUACAAAUAGUUAUGUGGCUUUCCAUGAUGGUAAACUGUGGUUUUGGAAAAUUAACUCGUUCCUAUGUCAGGACUCGGGCGUUCUUUGCUCAGCCAAUCACCAAUACAUGCACAAUCAAAUUCUUCUGCUAUUACUCCUGAUUCUGGGGCUUCCAUGAUCAGAACCAAGAAAAGUGGAAGUUCGCCUGCUUGUUUCUUUGCAGAAACCUCAAACCCAUUGUGCGAAAGAGUCUGACUGUAGGAAUUCAAAAUCUUUUGGAAAUUGGAAUGAACUCAGGAAGGCUCGCUGAAGCCAUGACUUGUAAAAAUGCCGAAUAUGCUAAAGAAAACGGGGUGCUUGAAAACCACAAGAGAAAAUUUGAGUUUUCGCCAAUCAGGAACUGUUCCUGCUGUACAGUUGCAGCACAAUUUCUCGUCCUUGUCGGAAGUGGAAGGUGGAGAAUCAAUCGGAUAAAACAGACGAAAAUCGGGAAAUGUUAUAUGAUGACCAGUCUUAUGAGAAUAUUGAUUUUGAUGCUCCGGAGGAACAAGCAACCUUGCUUCUCAAUCAUAAGCCAGAGGAGGCCGUACGGAAUCAGUAAACAAUUCCCCAACCAAAUCAACAAAACUCAUUUAUUACUUGUUCUACAUCAUUUGAUCUUGGCAUACUGUAAUUUUUCAGGUGAAUUAUGAACGGUGCCCUGCUCAAGCAUGGCUGGAGGGUCGGUAACAAACUUCGCCAAUACAGAGUAAGUUGUGAAGUUGAGCUGCAAAUUCGAGUGUGGACAGCCAUCAAGCAAGACUGCUGGUCGGAGUGCAAACAAAUGUAGUCUACCAUGUGCAUUUAUCGAAAGGAAUGGAGAGCAGAUGUUACCUUUGCCCCACCGUCUAUGAGGAGAGGCUUCUCGCAGAGGCUAAGAUACAGCUCCUUCUUGGAACCGUAACUAACCGAAUUCGAAGAGGAGGACCGGGAAAUCAAUGGUUGACAAUC